GUUAUCAGUGGCGAUGGCGAAGGGAAUCUCCGUGGCGUCCAGCGCUUUUUCCAGCCGCCGCCUGGAGGCCGUCAGCAGGCAGGUUAGUCAUGUGUUUUAAGAUGACCCUGUCUACACACCAUCCAGAUUCACAUUCAGUACAUUCAGAGGAGAAGCAACACAAACGCAUACAGGCACUCACAGGUUUUGAUAAUGGAGAAAGACUACAGACCCCCUCCUUAUUCUGGUCCUCAGAUGGAUCAGACAGGCAUACCCUGGACAGCAGGCAGUGUACCCACCUCAAGCAGGUCAGCUGAUCUUCCACUUCAACCUCACUAAUAAGAAGGAACAGGAUGAUUACACACCAGUGUAAUAGAAGUUAGUGAAAACUUUAGAAUGGCGACCCCAAAAUGUGAGCCAAUAU